UGCGGGUCUAAUACAUGCAAGUCGAGCGAACUGAUUAGAAGCUUGCUUCUAUGACGUUAGCGGCGGACGGGUGAGUAACACGUGGGCAACCUGCCUGUAAGACUGGGAUAACUUCGGGAAACCGAAGCUAAUACCGGAUAGGAUCUUCUCCUUCAUGGGAGAUGAUUGAAAGAUGGUUUCGGCUAUCACUUACAGAUGGGCCCGCGGUGCAUUAGCUAGUUGGUGAGGUAACGGCUCACCAAGGCAACGAUGCAUAGCCGACCUGAGAGGGUGAUCGGCCACACUGGGACUGAGACACGGCCCAGACUCCUACGGGAGGCAGCAGUAGGGAAUCUUCCGCAAUGGACGAAAGUCUGACGGAGCAACGCCGCGUGAGUGAUGAAGGCUUUCGGGUCGUAAAACUCUGUUGUUAGGGAAGAACAAGUACAAGAGUAACUGCUUGUACCUUGACGGUACCUAACCAGAAAGCCACGGCUAACUACGUGCCAGCAGCCGCGGUAAUACGUAGGUGGCAAGCGUUAUCCGGAAUUAUUGGGCGUAAAGCGCGCGCAGGCGGUUUCUUAAGUCUGAUGUGAAAGCCCACGGCUCAACCGUGGAGGGUCAUUGGAAACUGGGGAACUUGAGUGCAGAAGAGAAAAGCGGAAUUCCACGUGUAGCGGUGAAAUGCGUAGAGAUGUGGAGGAACACCAGUGGCGAAGGCGGCUUUUUGGUCUGUAACUGACGCUGAGGCGCGAAAGCGUGGGGAGCAAACAGGAUUAG
rnacentral:rRNA from 2 species